GCCUCCCUGCCUGCUGCACAGAGACACACACAGACACACACAUACACACACAGACAGAGACUUAUACUGUAAUAAAGAGAACCCCAGACACAGAACCAGAGAGAGAUAAAUACAAAAAAAAAAAGUAAAACCAACAAAAAAAUCAACAAAAAAAAUUGUACCUGUUAAUAACUCCAAGGGAGCACCACCCACUCAACCAACCUCCACAAACUGACAGCUCAGCAACUUCUCCGACUGGCCACCCAUCGCUGGAUGUUCCUCCACUUUAUCCACCAUAUAAAACAACUUUUACCAGUAAAUAUCGGUUUAUUCCUGAAAUCAGAAGCCCUAAACAUACCUUUGUUUAUAAGCCUGUGUGGUUCUGACUGCUGGCAGUUCUGUAGUACAGCAGCUUUAAUCUGAGCAAUUGAGACUGGUCCUACAUUAUCUUCAGACGGCUUGAGGAGGACUUCUGUUCCCAGUUUGGUACUCAAAUACUCCGUCCCACCUUGAGAAGUCACUUACUUUAAAAGGCAGUGAUAAAUUAUUCUCUUUAGCACUAAUGGAAAAUUAUAUUGCAAAGCAGCUUUAUUAUGAACCUUUCGUAUAUUCAUAAUUCCCGUGCAAUCCCAAAUUGGAGAAAAGAGCCUGUUAAAGGUAUAUAUUACUCUAGAUUUUUCUUACUGUAAAUAUUGUAAUUUUAUAAUCCUGUCAAUAUUUUAUUAAUUUACAAAUAUUUAACAAAGUUUAAUCUGUGUGAGUUCAGAUUUAUUUAAUGGUGUUCCACUUCUGUGGUUCCUGCUGCGGUCAGUAUUGCAUUAUAUUCUAUGUAAGAUUAACUUAAAUAAAAAAAAAAGUUAACAUUGAUUUAAAGGCCUCUUUCUGGGAGAACAAAGUAUAGAGGCGAUUCUCUUCUUUAAAAUGUAACACUUAUACUCUUCAGUCCCAGUGCUAAAGUAAUUUAAUGAAAUAUUAGUUACAGCUUUUCAGAGCUAAUGCAGCUAAACAACUGCACUUGGAACUUGUCAUUUUAAAAUUUGAGAAUACUUGAAUGUAAAUGGCUUUUAUCAGCCAGUUUUCAGUGAACAAGAAUCUCUGCAAUAUCUAAUAUAUUGAAAAGCUAAACUCUUUAUAAUGAGUAAAGGGACACUGUACGAUCAGUUUUAAGUUUUUGUAAAAACAAGUAUUUUCAAAGACCAAG
rnacentral:lncRNA from 1 species